rnacentral:rRNA from 1 species
UACGUAGGGUGCGAGCGUUGCCCGGAUUUAUUGGGCGUAAAGGGCGCGUAGGCGGCUCGGCACGUCCGUUGUGAAAUCGCCCGGCUCAACUGGGCGGGGUCAGCGGAUACGGUCGAGCUUGAGCAAGCUAGGGGGCAAUGGAAUUCCCGGUGUAGUGGUGGAAUGCGUAGAUAUCAGGAGGAACACCUGUGGCGAAAGCGGCUCACUGGACCAUAACUGACGCUGAGGCGCGAAAGCUAGGGGAGCAAACAGG